UUUUACAAAAAAAAACCUCCAGUGUUUCCCGACACAACCCGCGCUCCCUCUCUCCAGUGUUCAGUCGCAACGGCGUCUCACUUUCCCCAUUCCCCAGUCGGCCACCACGGUUCACGGCCAGAUCCCGGCCAACUCCGGCCAGGUCCUACCCUGCCGACCUUUGUCGCCACCCCCUCCUUCCCCUACCUCCGCCCAGUCCGUUUGCCCGCCAAUUCGCAGCCCCCAACAAACCCUGGCCACCGUCGACACUCACAAAUGCCAACUUUCUCACCGCGGAUUGCAUAGAGGAAGGAGAAAAUGCGAUUUUUGCGGUGGUGCGACAGUGCGUGGUGGCGAUGCAUGGAGACCGGCUGCCGAUGUGGCCGUCCAGGAGGCCAAGAUUCUCUUGGACGACGGCGAGCAGGCCGCGGGUCCACGAACGACGGACGCAGGAGCGCGUCUGGGUGCUCGAUCUGGAGUGCAUGGCGACGGCCUCAUCCCUGGUCGCCGCGCCGGGGGGAGGUGGCGACGGCCUCAUCCGUGGUCGCCGCGCCGGGGGGAGGUGGCGGUGGCACAGUAACUCGAGCUCCCCUUCCUCGACCCAGCCCCCGAGCCCGAUGUCUCGUCUCCCCUCAGGACUACCUACCUAGCAGCAGCAGAGGCUGGGCGAGUUCGUUUGGUCGAGGUAGAAAUACCAGCUGCAGGUGGUCGAUGCAGCAGCAACAGUAGGCGUCAGUGGUGGGGCAGCAGCAGUAGUAGGCGUCGGCGGCGAGGAAGGAGCCGGCGGGGAAAGACUACCUCAGCAUCACAGCCGACGAGGAAGGAGCCGGCAGAGAAGGAGAGGCUGGGCCGAUCGGUGUCUCCCAGCAGCAGAGACGGGGCGCAGGGAAAGAUUGCGGCGGAAUCGCGGAGGUUCGCGGCGUUGCAGGUGCAGGUGGGCGGCGCCGUAGUGGCUGAUCACGCGGGUGGGCGGCGGAAUCACGCAGCUGGGCGCCGACAGGUGGUCGCGGCGGAUCGAGGACCAGUUCGCCUGGUGGUCACGGCGAUGGACAGCGGAAUCGGCGGGCAGCUGGUGGCGGGUGUGCGGCGGUGGGUGAUUGCGAGUGGGUUGCGAGCGCCAGAAUCUCCAGCGCGGCGGAGGAAUCCCACGGCGCCGGCCCCUGCCCCUGGCGACGCACGGGCGCCGGACGGAGGAAGGAGGAGUCGUGUACUUGUUUGCUACUAUUUUUAAAAUUGCGAGGUGUUUAUUGCAAAACAUCCACUAUACUGCGCCUGCGACAAUAAUUUUGGGACGGAGGGAGUAUAUGAUAAGCUUCACCUAUGAA